rnacentral:piRNA from 1 species
UUUGAGGUCAGAUGUUCAAAUGUGAUCAUC